AAAAAUCGAGUUCUCUUGCUUUAAAGCAUGAACACAAAUUGUUUAGUUUGUUUGUAGUAAAUAAAUUUGACAUUUGACACAAAAUGUAAUGUAGUUUUUAUAUUCUUAUAUACUUUAUGUUAAUAUAUUAGUUGUGUCACUCACUAUAGAUAUUAUUUGAAAAUUUUUUAUGAGAGAAGAUAACUUUUAAACACUAAUACAUAUUUUAUUCCAGCUUCUUGUAAAAUUUCUAAUAUUCAAUAGCAAAGCCUAUUUUCAAAAAAAUAAAAAAAAAAUUGUUUAAAAUAGUUAAAAUUUAAUUACAGUAGAACAAACUAUUUGUGGACAAAACAGAAGUAUAACAAACACUCCAUAUAUUCUCAAACAACGGAGUAUGAAUCCGUAGCUCAGUUGCCUCCCUUACAUUUAGAUUCAUAUAAUUCUUUGGAAAGUGGACAUAUUUACUCUGUCCGAAGCACUUGAAUUCAAAUCAACCCAAUGUUGAUGCACUUGAUCACUUUAUGAUAAUUUCAGUGAGUUUGUUAAUGAAUAAGGAAUAAGCCCGGAUGGUGAAGAUGACGUUGAUUGCUCGUGUUGCU
rnacentral:lncRNA from 1 species